UGCGUAGGUGGUGAGGUAAGUCGGAUGUGAAAGCUCGGAGCUCAACUCCGAAAUGGCAUUGGAAACUACCUUGCUAGAGGGUUGGAGGGGGGACUGGAAUACUUGGUGUAGCAGUGAAAUGCGUAGAUAUCAAGUGGAACACCAGUGGCGAAGGCGAGUCCCUGGACAACUCCUGACACUGAGGCACGAAAGGCUAGGGGAGGCAAACAG
rnacentral:rRNA from 1 species